AGCUGGGGCAGGAGGUCCCAGCUGAGAGGACCGGCUUCCUAACGAACAUGCCAUCCUGUGCCCAGGACCUGCUGAACAUGGAGGGCUAACAGGCUGCUAACCUGCUCUACUUGCCUGACCCCAAUUUCCCCUCAUUAUUAGAGAGCUGAAUUCUAAAUCAAAGACUGGA